rnacentral:rRNA from 1 species
GACGAACGCUGGCGGCGUGGAUUAGGCAUGCAAGUCGAACGGUAGGAUACCUUCGGGUAUCUGAGAGUGGCGAACGGGUGAGUAACACGUAGGUGAUCUACCCUCAAGAUUGGGACAACCCAGGGAAACUUGGGCUAAUACCGGAUGAAAGCAGCAGUGAUGUUGUUUGAAAGGUGGCGUAAGCUGCCGUUUGGGGAUGAGCCUGCGCUCUAUUAGUUAGUUGGCGGGGUAAAGGCCCACCAAGGCGAUGAUAGAUAGGCGGCCUUAACGGGUGGUCGCCCACACUGGGAUUGAGAUACGGCCCAGACUCCUACGGGAGGCAGCAGUCGAGAAUAGUCUACAAUGGCCGAAAGGCUGAUAGUGCGACGCCGCGUGAACGAAGAAGCCCUUCGGGUGUAAAGUUCUUUUAUAUGUGAGCAGUGCUUUCUAUGUGAACAGCAUGGGAGAGAGAUAUUAGCAUAUGAAUAAGCAACGGCUAAUCCGUGCCAGC